rnacentral:sRNA from 1 species
CUCCAUCGAAGUGAUGCACCUCCUCCCGCAGAGCUUCGAGUUUCAGACGGCCCACUCCUCCUCCCAGUCGCUGUUCGGUUCUUUUCGAAAAGCCUGCCGCACCUCCUCCCGCGGCAGGCUUUUUCG